rnacentral:rRNA from 1 species
AGAAUCAACGCUGGCGGCGUGCCUAACACAUGCAAGUCGAACGCGAAAGUCCCGCAAGGGAUGAGUAGAGUGGCAAACGGGUGAGUAAUACGUGGGUGACCUGCCUUCGAGCGGGGGAUAACGUCCCGAAAGGGACGCUAAUACCGCAUGACAUCCUGCCUUUGAAGAGGUGGAGAUCAAAGCUGGGGAUCGCAAGACCUAGCACUUGAAGAGGGGCCCGCGCCUGAUUAGCUAGUUGGUGGGGUAACGGCUCACCAAGGCAACGAUCAGUA